CCGGAUCCCUCCCACAUUAGACCUACCACACCCUCAGGGCAGACAACAGCUCCACACACCCCACACUCAGCCACCAGGGCAAGGGAGCAAAAUUCCAGAAAGCUCAGAGCGGACUGAUGUACUGGCCCUUAGUACAGGUGCUGCCAUGGCCACGACUGUUGUUACACUCGAGCUGAGGAGGCCGGCUGCAGCCCCAAGACAGAGCGCUACUCCUGGCAGUGCGUCAAUCAGAGCGUCCUGUGCGAUGAGUCCCCAGCAGCACCAUGCCACCCACCCCGAGUAUCCCCUGGGCACCCUGGCAUAGCCAGAUGACUUCCGUGCCCCUGUUGCAAUAACCACUGCUUCCAAGUCUCUGUAGACCACCCCUUGGGUAUAUCUCAUGUUACCAUGCCAGCAAUGAUUCCUUUUGAGUUUCUGACAGAAGAUAGUGGUUUUCAUCCAAAUAAGUCAACUACUCUACCCCAUCCCUAAGCCACUUGUAUGGAAAGAAAAAGAGGAAGAAGCCAGUACUGUGACUGCGUAAGCUUCCCCCAGCAUCACCCGCUAUGAGAUGUGUGGCAGCUGAGACCCGGGAACUGCUCAAGGGCACCAGGCCCCAUCUGUCUGCACUCACUCACCUUCCUCAGGUACUCGCAUGGGCAUGUCACUGACUUUACAUGCUGCUGCAGCUCCUUGGUGAGCUGGCCCUGGUCAUGGGACAGGAACUGUGGGGUCAGGACAAUAGAGAGCUUCACCAUUUGCAGAAUGAGAACAGGGGCUCAUGAUGAGUGCCAACCUAU